rnacentral:rRNA from 1 species
CACGUAGGGCGCAAGCGUUGUCCGGAAUUAUUGGGCGUAAAGAGCUCGUAGGCGGUCUGUUGCGUCCGCUGUGAAAACUCGGGGCUUAACCCCGAGCCUGCAGUGGAUACGGGCAGACUAGAGGUAGGUAGGGGGAGAAUGGAAUUCCCGGUGUAGCGGUGAAAUGCGCAGAUAUCAGGAGGAACACCGGUGGCGAAGGCGGGUCUCUGGGCCGAUACUGACGCUGAGGAGCGAAAGCGUGGGGAGCGAACAGG